GCCACCGGGCUGAUUUCAGCCCAAAUUUCGCUUUAUUUACAAGAUUGCCACUGGGCUUAAGAACGGGUUUUCAGUCUUUCGGUUGGAUCCGGGCUUUUGACUCGGGGAGAGAGAGGGAAGGGGGCAGAAGGGUUGACGGGUUGGAUGGAGAGGUUCGCCAGGAUUUGGGGGAGAGGAUUUUCGGCAGGGAGGUGCGGGUGGGUGUGCCUGUGGCUGAUGCAUCGGUCAGAGGGUUGUUGGUGGAGGAGAGGAGGGGGACAGAGUGAUUGACAGAUUGGAGAGAGAUGGGAGCUACGGGUUUCGACUGAGAGAGAGAGAUUUAGCUAGGUCAUCUGCCAGGACCUAUGGCAUUUUCUCCAAUUUUAGAGAGAGAGAUGGACAGAGAGAGAGAGGAGAAAGCAUGGCUGUGUGCAUUUUUUGGGGUUAAUGGGUUACCGCACAGGGUCGGUGAGGAGAGAAUGGCAGAGGGAGGGAAUGUUGUCAUCCCCUUUUCAUUCCCUCUUUUUCUCUCCCUACUCUAUCUCUGUAACCAUCCCUCCCUUUUCUCACUCUAUAAUUUCCCUCAAAUCCCCCGUCGAUUCUCUCUCUCGCCAUUCUCAGUCUCGCCAGCCGCGAAUCCUUACAGCUCCAUGCUCCGCCUCCAGAUUCGUCGAGAUGAGAGCCCCAAGACCGUCGCCUGCACCACCGUCUCAGAAAAGUGAGCCAAAAUCUCGCGAGAAUCAGGCUGCACACGAGCGGAUCUAAAGGCCAAACCUCCGAUCUUGAAGGUACACUUGACUGAGAAGGAAAGUCUUUUCAUAUUAAAUCCAUGUUAGCCUGGCCGCUGCCGCCCUGGAACCAUCGCUCUUCGUCUUCUCCAUUCUCUUGGUCUUGGACCAAGCAUGAAAUCCCAAGCACUAUAUCACCAUAAAGCAAGCAAGCUGAAAAGCAAUCCAACAAACCCUUUUUCCAGAAGCACUUAACAGAACCUUUCUAUGGGUUAAUUGUUGUUUCAAUUAUACCAGAUUGAAAACGAGUAUGGAACCAUCAAGCAUACGGGGCCGUUGUCCAAACCUAUAUUAAGUGGGCAGCAAGCAUGACUGUUUGUCUCUAAAUACAGGGUGCCCUGGGUCAUGUGGCAACAAAAAGAUGCUCCUGCAUCCGUAGUGAGGCUUUUGUAGUCAGUUUUCAUUUGCAUUGUAUUGACUUUGACCUUUUUGAUCAAAGUCCAAUAGCAAUAGGUGCAGUAAUUCUCAAACCCUAAUUUUAACUGUUUGGAUCAAUUGCGUUUUUUUUAAAAAAAAAAAAUUGCGUUGCUUCUACUAGCUAUAUAUUGAUGGGUUUCGGAGUGUUUUUUGUUUUGUGACUGGAUUUUGCUGUGUCGGAUUAGUUUGGUUUGCUAACUUAUGUUAUUUUUUAUGGGUUUGGUUAACAUGGUUUUCAUUCCUUUUCAGAUUUGUUUCGACACACACUACUCGAAAUUUGCAGGAUGCUAUGGUGAUAUUUUCUACGAUCUAAACAAAUUAACUAUUUAAUGUUAGUAGUUUGUGUUAUAUAAAGCUACGCAUGUUAGGAGUAAAGUAAUUUAUUAUUUGUUCUUAGCCCUUGGUUUAUAAAUCCCAACUUUAAAAUUCCAAGUAGAUGUGUCUGUUAAUCGAUUGCAUUUGGGAUGGAAAUGGUUUUGAAUGAUUUGGAUUUUCAUUAAUUUUAAUUCAUCUGCUAAUCAUAGUUUCAUGUAUUAGAUAGUUGCUUUGCUCUCACAAAUUUUGUUGGUAGGGGUUCAGCAAAGCUUUCUAGGGCUAAAUCUUCAGUUUGCUGUUGGGUAUGUUUACUUUAUGCUUUUGUUUUUUGUUUUUUGUGUUUUUGUUUUUGUCUGGAGUAAAUAUGCUUAAGAUGUCACAUGAUUAAAGGUGGAGAAAUCACCGUCCCUUUUUUCGUAGAAAUUUGUAAUUUUUUUUAAAAAUAUGUGUGGGUUGCUGAAACUAAUUAUUUGAUCAGUGUGAUUUUUUGUAAUUGGGAAUUUAGGACCUUGGUAACUUGAUUGAAUAGGAAUUUUGUGAUUAGGAAUUUGUGGGUUUACCUCCGAAUUUAAUCCCUUUCUUAAGAGGGAUCUAGCCGUAACACACAGCAGCAAUGGGGGAAGAGAAGCGGCACCAGGUUCGGCGAUCAAUCUGGAGAGGAAGAGGUCAAUUUUGAGCACAAGUCCAAUCCCCGGCCCAAUUCUGUAUGAUCAUCUAAUUUCAUGUUUCCUUUCUAUUCUGAUUCCAAAAGUAUGUUUCGGAAUGAUUAGGGUUUCAGUUUUUGUUUUAAUUUUUGAGCACAAGUCCAAUCCCCGGCCCAAUUCUGUAUGAUCAUCUAAUUUCAUGUUUCCUUUCUAUUCUGAUUCCAAAAGUAUGUUUCGGAAUGAUUAGGCUUUCAGUUUUUGUUUUAAUCUUAGUUGAAGGAAGAUAUAGGGUGUGGUUUUGUUAAUGGCGGUGGAUGAUUUGGAUGAAAGUAUGUAUCCUCGGGAUUUUUUUGCUUGCAGUUGUUUAGGCCAGGACUUGGUGCGAUGGCAAGUGCUUUCGCCCAUGAGCGGUAGGUCUCGGGUUCGAGACUUGGGAGCAGCCUCUCCAUAAAUGGGGGUAAGGCUAGCCGACAUUCACCUCUCUCAGACCCUACGUAAAGCGGGAGCCUUGUGCACUGGGUAAUAAAGGUGGUCCAACUAGUAGCUGAUAAAAUGUCUUUAUAUAUAUGCUUUUGUUGAUUUCUGCUGCGAUAAUGAGGGAAUCUAGAGGAUCAAGGCCAGUCAAUCUGAGGUUUGUACUACUCUAUCCCUUUCUUUCUCUCUUUCUGUGAAUUUCUUGAAAUUGACGACGCACGUUCUGAUUCUUGCUGUGUUUGGGAGCGGAGAAAGCUCUGGAUUAGCUUUGAUCACUUGAAUUUUGUCUUAUUUAGUUCAGCACAGUCGGACUACAUAAUCCUACCAUUGGGCUAUUUCUAUAGAGGGUUUAUGUUGACUUUUGUUGGCCUGUUGACAGUCUGGUAGGUCUAUCAUAUUGAUGGAACUAAAUUGUGAGUUAGUUAUGGUUUAGAUUGUUGAAUUUUGAAUUCGCAAUUCCCUUUGAAACUGUCACAAGCGAUGUGUCUGUUGUGGCUACAGGAAUCAAAAGCGAGUGAAAGGUAAAGCUUUUCUCUCCAAGCAUUCAUCGCCAGAAAUUGUAGUACCUCUUUUAAAUUCAAAUUUUUAUUUAUUUGCAGAAUUGUAUAAUCCUUUUGAAGCAGUGGGGAGCCGCGGUUCGAUUUUGGUAGGAUUGGCAUGUGGUUGUUCACGCCUUUACGGCCACUUUGUGUCUGGCAAAGAUACCUUCGUUAAGUAAUUUGAGAAGCAUGGGGAGAUAAUAGACUAAUCAAAGAGAUGCAUGUGAUCAACGAUAAAUAGGUAAGCAUCAUCCUCUUCCUUGUUUUGUUAUGAUUGGUUGUAUAGAGGAUUGAGAAAAAAGUUGAAGACAAUUCCACGCUUUUGAGUUAUAGCAAUUAGUAAAUAUAAAAUGACAUUGAUUAGUUCAUUGAAGUUUUGAAUCCUUCGUUAGUUUAUCCGUGGUGCGUGCUUGAGAAUGAAAGCAAUGGACAUUAUAUGGAAUUGAUGUUCCUUUUAAUGUCAGUAAAGAAAGGAAUUGUUCCUUUAUUAGCAAUUAUAUGAAGUAGGCAUAUUAUGCAAUACAAUGUCUACAAUCGACUAUUUUACUUUUUGUACAAGUACAACUUUUGAUCGAAAGCCACAAAAACUACCUAAAGGCCAAAGAACCGUGUGUUAGAAGAACAGAAUAUGGUGUAAAGCUUAAAUUUUGGGCACUUCAAUAUAUGUUUUAUUUUUCAAUUACAAUAACUUGCAUGAAAAUUCAAUUGGGUUUGUUCUGGUCUCCAAAAAUUUUGCUUUGUUUGGUUACUGAUUAAUUUAUGUGGUGGGAGUUUAGUUUCUGCUUUUCUGCCUACGUAUUUAUGAUUCAAAAUGGACUGUUCAAUUACAUAUUUGUAAUCGAAAAGCUCGAAGGAGAGGUGAAUUAUCUUACCGACACUGUUCAUUUAUCUAUUCCUUUGUUCAUU